rnacentral:rRNA from 1 species
CCUACGGGAGGCAGCAGUAGGGAAUUUUGCGCAAUGGGCGAAAGCCUGACGCAGCAACACCGCGUGAGUGUUAAGCCCUUCGGGGUGUAAAGAUCUGUCAAUAGGGACGAAUUCUGACUGUACCUGUCAAGGAAGCACCGGCGACAUACGUGCAAGCAGCCGCGGUAAUAAGGGGGGAGCAAGCGUUGUCCGGAAUCAUUGGGCGUAAAGCGGUCGUAGGCGGCUAGGUAGGUCUGAUGUUAAUGCCCUGGGCUCACCCCCGGUUCGGCAUUGGAUACUAUCUAGCUAGAAUGUGGUAGAGGUAAAGGGAAUUCCUGGUGUAGCGGUGAAAUGCGGAGAUAUCAGGAGGAACAUCGGUGGCGAAAGCGCUUUACUGGACCAUUAUUGACGCUGAGGAACGAAAGCGAGGGGAGCAAAUGGGAUUAGAUACCCGUGUAGUC